GAUGAACGCUAGCGGCAGGCCUAAUACAUGCAAGUCGAACGGGAUCCAGAUCAAAGCUUGCUUUGGUCUGGUGAGAGUGGCGCACGGGUGCGUAACGCGUGAGCAACCUACCCUUGUCAGGGGGAUAGCCCGGCGAAAGUCGGAUUAAUACCGCAUGACAUCAUUGAGAGGCAUCUUUCGAUGAUCAAAGAUUUAUCGGACAAGGAUGGGCUCGCGUGACAUUAGCUAGUUGGUAAGGUAACGGCUUACCAAGGCUGCGAUGUCUAGGGGCUCUGAGAGGAGAAUCCCCCACACUGGUACUGAGACACGGACCAGACUCCUACGGGAGGCAGCAGUAAGGAAUAUUGGUCAAUGGACGGAAGUCUGAACCAGCCAUGCCGCGUGCAGGAGGACGGCCCUAUGGGUUGUAAACUGCUUUUAUACGGGAACAAACGUCGGUACGUGUACCGGUCCGAGUGUACCGUAAGAAUAAGGAUCGGCUAACUCCGUG
rnacentral:rRNA from 1 species